rnacentral:rRNA from 1 species
UACAUGGGGUGCAAACGUUGCUCGGAAUUAUUGGGCGUAAAGCGCACGUAGGCGGUUUGUUAAGUCGGAUGUGAAAUCCCUCGGCUCAACUGAGGAAGUGCAUCCGAAACUGGCAAGCUUGAGUACGAAAGAGGGUCGCGGAAUUCCCGGUGUAGAGGUGAAAUUCGUAGAUAUCGGGAGGAACACCGUGGUGCGAAGGCGGCGAC